rnacentral:rRNA from 1 species
UGGGGAAUAUUGCACAAUGGGCGCAAGCCUGAUGCAGCCAUGCCGCGUGUGUGAAGAAGGCCUUCGGGUUGUAAAGCACUUUCAGCGGGGAGGAAGGCGUUAAGGUUAAUAACCUUGGCGAUUGACGUUACCCGCAGAAGAAACACCGGCUAACUCCGUGCCAGCAGCCGCGGUAAUACGGAGGGUGCAAGCGUUAAUCGGAAUUACUGGGCGUAAAGCGCACGCAGGCGGUUUGUUAAGUCAGAUGUGAAAUCCUCGGGCUCAACCUGGGAACUGCAUCUGAUACUGGCAAGCUUGAGUCUCGUAGAGGGGGGUAGAAUUCCAGGUGUAGCGGUGAAAUGCGUAGAGAUCUGGAGGAAUACCGGUGGCGAAGGCGGCCCCCUGGACGAAGACUGACGCUCAGGUGCGAAAGCGUGGGGAGCAAACAGG